AUUAACAGACAAUUAUCCAAUGUGGAAGAUAAAAUAUACACACUACGUGAACAAGGCAGUUUAUAGAAAUGAAGAGCAACGCAUGGUUAAGUAAACGUAACAGCGUUCUCUCUUGUCUGGUAAUUAUGAAUAAAUAUACGAACCGAAAUAUAUCAGUUAAAUACCUAAAGAAAUUAUGUAAUGUUCGACUCUUUUUUAAGCUACAUCGACAACAAUCAGAUUCCUGAAGUCCCGGUAAACUCAUUUGUAGAUUGUGGACUACUGAUUCAAUUGUAUCUGCAUUACAACAAAAUUUCUGCAAUAGAACCACACACUUUUGCGAAUCUUCUAAAUCUUCAACGUUUAUAUCUGUACAGUAAUGUACUAUCUAAAAUAGAACCGUACACUUUUGUGAAUCUUCCAAAUCUGCAAUAUUUAUAUAUAAACGACAACAAGAUACGGUCACUUGAAAGUACUACGUUUAUCAACAUGACAAACUUGUAUCAAUU